UACGGGGGGGGCAAGCGUUGUUCGGAAUUACUGGGCGUAAAGGGCUCGUAGGCGGCCAACUAAGUCGGACGUGAAAUCCCUCGACUCAACCGGGGAACUGCGUCCGAUACUGGAUGGCUCGAGUCCGGGAGAGGGAUGCGGAAUUCCAGGUGUAGCGGUGAAAUGCGUAGAUAUCUGGAGGAACACCGGUGGCGAAGGCGGCAUCCUGGACCGGCACUGACGCUGAGGAGCGAAAGCCAGGGGAGCAAACGGG
rnacentral:rRNA from 1 species